GCUGGAGGAGAGCUCCUGCCUGGGGACAAACCACACAGGCCUGAGCCUGCGAGCUCUGCAGCCCCCUCGCUGCACAUCCUCCAGACAGCACACUCAGGAUCAGCCUGGGGGCUCUCCCAGUCCCCACCCACGCCCUGUGGGCUCCCCGGCCAGGCCGAGCAGCAGAGACCCCUGAGGGGGAGGUGCAGCUGCAGUGGGUGGCCUGGAUGUCGCAGCUCAGACCCACAGAGCCUUUCUGGGUGAAGGACGGGGUCCGGCAGGGCAGGACAGCACAAGGGCAGGUGCGCAGGGGGGCUGAGGGGCAGAGCCCCAGCGAGGUGCCAGGUGUUUGCCAUGUGCACAGGUGUGCUGGGCAGCGCUGCAGAUGGCUCUGGGGGUUUGGGGGGCUCUGGGCUGUCCCAGGGAGGAGCUAAGGAAGGAGAGAGAGCAGCCAGAGCAGGGUGGGCACAGGGGCAGAGCAGACCCUGCUGUUUGCAGCUCUGCCUCCCAUGGUUUCAAAGGCAAAUGGGGAUGGUCCCGGGUACUGCAAAAUACAAGAGCUUGAUUUCCCCACAUAAUUUCAAGGGCCACCACAUCUCUCAUGGUUGUCAGGCACAAUGGUUCCCACCCAGUGACUGUGAAAGCCCCAUUAGCCCCCAAAGAGCAAUUUUCCACUGUGCAGCACUUUCAUAGGCUGGCAGCUCCGCUCUCUGAAAAUUAGUAAUGAGAAAUAUGCUCUUGCACAGUCCUAAACCCACUGUUUCUAAUAAAGGGCUGUUUGCAGCAGCA